UUUUUUUUUUUUUUUUUUGUCUUUUUAGGGCCCCACCUGGAGGUUCCCAGGCUAGGGGUCAAAUCAGAGCUGUAGCUGCCAACCUACGCUACAGCCAUAGCAACGCAGGAUCCAAGCCGCAUCUGUGACCUACACCACAGCUCCCGGCAAUACCGGAUCCUUAACCCAAAGAGCGAGGCCAGGGAUCAAACCUGCUUCCUCAUGGAUACUAGUCAGAUUCAUUUCUGCUGAGCCAUGAUGGGAAAUCCCUGACCUGGAUUUUAAUGUAGACAUUCCUCCUUCUUCAUGGAAUCCAGAAAGUUUCAUAUUGGUUUACAUCUGAAGAAUAUGUGGUCCAAAAGAGCAAGUUAGGAGCUACAAUCUUGUAAGACCAAGUCUCAAAGCCACACACCAAUGCUUUGAAUCUUUGCUGUCACCCUGCAGGCUGCCUACCACAGCUUUCCUCCAAAAAAUCAAGUUUAGGAAGCUGAAAUAACAUUGUUCAUAAGACUAUAUAAUUGCAACUAUAUUUCUGUAAAGCUAUUGGAAAUACAUGUCAAAUACCUUUAAAAUAUGUCUAUCCUUUGACUGAAUAAUUCCUUUUCUCAGAAUCUAUCCCAAAGAAACAGUCGCAAAUGCAAGGAAACAUGUGUAUAUCAUUUUUACAUAUUAUAUAUUAUUUAUUUUUCCUCUUACUAUUAUAAGAGGAAAAAAGUUUGAUUUUUUAUAAAUAAGUAAAUUUUUAUAAAUAAAAGAUCCAGAAUAACAAAAUGGUCAAUUAAACUCAAGUAUGUUCAUUGAUACCAAGAUUCACUUUUUUCCACAUUUUAAUAUCUAUGAAAUUGGAAUGUGUCUUAUAGUAGCCGGCAUCUUAUUAUUCAGCCACACAGUAGGCACAAAGUAGCUGUCAUUGCCAGGCAUGCAUCACUUUGGUCACAGAUGUUCAUCUUGUCAUUACCUCAAUGGAAUGAUGUACAUUGCUGGUACCACACAUGUCGAUUUCACUACUAUUUAAUUUAUUAUUUAUUUAUUUAUUUAUUUAUUUUUUGGUCUUUUUGUCUUUUGCUGUUGUUGUUGUUGUUGCUAUUUCCUGGGCCGCUCCCGUGGCACAUGGAGGUUCCCAGGCUAGGGGUCCAAUCGGAGCUGUAGCCACUGGCCUACACCAGAGCCACAGCAACGCGGGAUCCCAGCCGCGUCUGCAACCUACACCACAGCUCACGGCAACGCCGGAUCGUUAACCCACUGGGCAAGGGCAGGGACAGAACCCGCAACCUCAUGGUUCGAUCCCUGGCCUCGCUCAGUGGGUUAGGGAUCUAGCGUUGCCGUGAGCUGUGGUGUAGAUCGCAGACACAGCUCGGAUCCUGCAUUGCUGGCUCUGGUGUAAGCCAGCGGCUACAGCUCCAGUUAGACCCAUAGGCUGGGAACUUCUGUAUGCCACAAGUGCGGCCCUAGAAAAGACAAAAAUAAAAUAAAAUAAAAUAAAGAGUUUCUGGAGACAUAGAGAAAACUUUGGGCUUAAAUAGAGAUAUAAAAGAAUACAAAAUUGCAAACUCACAACUAUGUAAGAUAAUUUUAAAAUAGUGUGGGAAAAGUGAAAGCAAAUACAUCAAAAUGUUAAGUCUGCAGAAUGAGAUUAUGAUUAAUCUUUAUCUUCUUCCUUUUUAUGUUUCCCAAAUUGUUACCAAAAGAAUGUGUUUUUAAAUUAGUUUAAGAUAAUAUUUAGAAUAUUAAAAACAAAGAUGGAAACUCACCCUCCAGGUACUCAUCAACUCCUUUAUAACACAUUGUUAUAAUUUAUCUAAGCUUCUGUGAAUCUGUUUAUAUUAUAUCCUUCCUAUUCUGUAAGGCUAAUUCUAUAUACUCGGUGAGAAACAUUCUAUAGAUUCACAAGCUUCAAGUUCGACCUCCUGCCUGGUGUUGCUAGGCUGGGCUCAUGCAUGUCAAUCCAAUCUCUAUUCUUCACACUUUCACAAUGCUCAGUCAAACCUUCCUGGCUUUUGCUAUUCUAACCACAAAUGCUAAUUUAUUAAGUUUUUCUAAAUACUGAAGUUCUUUCAGAAAAAUUAAAGACCUUUCCAACUCAUCUUUCUUAGUCCUUAUAAUUAUUCUGAGAUCACCACGCUAGACUAUUCUGAUAUCAGGUCUAUAGCCUAGCAAGUGCAUUUCCAAGUUAUUUAUCCAGUUUGGCAUAUUUUGGUCUCUUCCCUAUAUGACAGAAACUAAGAUGAACAAAAGAGGAAACACCUCUUUUCUUGGAUAUAUUAGCAAUCAAAGGGGCUUCUGGCUGGCAUAGUUUGCAGCCAUGGACUUUUGGAUAGGAAUUUAAUAUCAUACACUAGAAUUUCUGAGUUCACUAAGAAGAUGAAUGAGGAGUUCCCAUCGUGGCUCAGUGGUUAAAAAAUCUGACUAGGAACCAUGAGGUUGCAGGUUCUAUCCCUGGCCUUGCUCAGUGGGUUAAGGAUCCGGCAUUGCCGUGAGCUGUGAUGUAGGUCACAGACUCAGCUCGAACCCUGUUUUGCUAUGGCUCUGGCGUAGGCCGGCAGCUACAGCUCCAAUUAGACCCCUAGUCUGGGAACCUCCAUAUGCCGUGGGUACGGCCCUAGAAAAGGCAAAAAGACAAAAAAAAAAAAAAAAAAAAAAAAAAAGAAGAUGAAUGAUGAGAACAUAAGGUGAAGAUGGAACAGAAAUAAGGAGACACGGAGCUUAAAUUAAAUCUCAGAACCAGGGGACCCUAAAUAAGCUGGAUUCAUCCUGGGCAUUGUCCCCAAAGCCCAUCUUUUUCUCUGCCCUGGGUCUUUUUAAAUUUUACUGCAUUUACAAAAUCCAUCUGUUACUUCUCUGGUCUCUCUCCUUCUCCUACAGAUCAAACACAUUUUGCCCAACUGCCACAGGCAGCCCUGGAUUGCAAAUAAGAAGCAGGCUAAACCCCAGUUUCUUGUUUGGGCUCUUCAUCAGUCAACGCUGCCAAAAGACUUCCACCAAAGCAGCAUUUCCAUUUGUCUUUGCAGUUCACAAGGUCCCAGCCUUCAUGCCUCAUGCCCACACAAGCUUCUGUCACUCAUGGACUCUGUGAGUGGCCGUCCUGAAGAUGUGAUGAGGCUAUGAGAGCAAUCAAUCCCACAAGAGAGGGUCAAUGUGCCCCAAACUAAGCUCUUCCCUGGCACCAUCAGUCAGACACGUCCUGAAUAGAAGCUUUGUUUUCACUUCAGUCCCCCCACAAGUAAAUUUAUAUGCUGGUAUAAUUAUAAAAUCAUUUAAGCAUUUAACCUGCAGCUCAUAAGCAUGUUCAACACCCUAUUGGUGCCCCAUCCUACGCCUAACUAGUUGAAAUAAUAAAUAAAUAAAAUCUGGCUUGAUGUUACUAGCUAACAACUAAUAACAAAUAUCUGACUUAGUCUGAGAUUGAAGUUCAAGACUUACUUUGCUGGAGCUAGUCUUUUCCCAGACUUAGGCACAGAGGUAUGAUGGGGAAAGAUGGGAGGCAGAAAUGCUGUGGCAAUACAGCACUUACUUCAAAUCAGAGAUACAACACAUCAACUCAGCGCAAACUUGAGGAACACCCAGAGCACAAAUUUGAGGGAGGUGGGGGAAGGGUCUGCUAGAAAUGUCUUGUCACUGUCACGUUAAGACUUACCAGACUUUGUAAAGUCAGAAUCUGCCCAAAAUAGUAAAAAUAAGGAUACAUCUCAUUGCUCUGUCAUGUGUGAGAUGUUCAUUAGCAUUUCAUGCAUGCAGGCAGAAAAUUGCUGGAGAAGGGAAGAAAUCACAUUCUGAGCUUAUCCCCCACCAAGAGCUGCAAAUUUGGCAUUUCUGCACAGGAGGAAACCAUACCCUGCUGGCAACAGACUCAUCAUCAACCCGACCCGCAAUGAAAACACAGAACAAGCAAAAUACCCUGCAUCUGUAUUGCUCUCAGUACCUUGUGAGUAUGUAUCAGUCUUAGGAACAUAUCUUGGAAUCAUUACACAAACUCUUUCCACCACAAAUACUGUGCUCCCUAUC
ensembl:lncRNA